rnacentral:snRNA from 2 species
AUACCUUUCUCGGCCUUUUGGCUAAGAUCAAGUGUAGUAUUUGUUUUUAUCAGUUUAAUAUCUGAUAUGUGGGCCAUGGGCCCAUAAUGAUAUUAAAUUUAUUUUUAUGGGGGAGGGCCCACAACAGUAGCUUGCUAUCGGGGUCCUCGUGUGUCGGGCCUGGCGCGCCCCAA